CACGUAGGGUGCGAGCGUUGUCCGGAAUUAUUGGGCGUAAAGAGCUCGUAGGCGGUGUGUCGCGUCGGCCGUGAAAACCUGCAGCUUAACUGUGGGCUUGCGGUCGAUACGGGCAUCACUGGAGUUCGGCAGGGGAGACUGGAAUUCCUGGUGUAGCGGUGAAAUGCGCAGAUAUCAGGAGGAACACCGGUGGCGAAGGCGGCUCUCUGGACCGAUACUGGACGCUGAAGGCGCGAAAGCGUGGGGAGCAAACAGG
rnacentral:rRNA from 1 species